rnacentral:rRNA from 1 species
UACAGAGGGGGCAAGCGUUGUUCGGAAUUACUGGGCGUAAAGGGCGCGUAGGCGGCCCGCUAAGUCGAACGUGAAAUCCCUGGGCUCAACCCAGGAACUGCGUCAGAUACUGGCAGGCUUGAAUCCGGGAGAGGGAUGUGGAAUUCCAGGUGUAGCGGUGAAAUGCGUAGAUAUCUGGAGGAACACCGGUGGCGAAGGCGGCAUCCUGGACCGGUAUUGACGCUGAUGCGCGAAAGCCAGGGGAGCAAACGGG